rnacentral:rRNA from 1 species
UACGGGGGGAGCAAGCGUUGUUCGGAUUUACUGGGCGUAAAGGGCGCGUAGGCGGCCACCGCAAGUCGAUUGUGAAAUCUCCGGGCUUAACUCGGAAAGGUCAACCGAUACUGCGGGGCUAGAGUGCAGAAGGGGCAACUGGAAUUCUCGGUGUAGCGGUGAAAUGCGUAGAUAUCGAGAGGAACACCGGUGGCGAAGGCGGUUCUCUGGGCCGACAUUGACGCUGAGGAGCGAAAGCGUGGGGAGCGAACAGG